ACGCUGGCGGCAGGCCUAACACAUGCAAGUCGAGCGGUAGAGAGAAGCUUGCUUCUCUUGAGAGCGGCGGACGGGUGAGUAAUGCCUAGGAAUCUGCCUGGUAGUGGGGGAUAACGUCCGGAAACGGACGCUAAUACCGCAUACGUCCUACGGGAGAAAGCAGGGGACCUUCGGGCCUUGCGCUAUCAGAUGAGCCUAGGUCGGAUUAGCUAGUUGGUGGGGUAAUGGCUCACCAAGGCGACGAUCCGUAACUGGUCUGAGAGGAUGAUCAGUCACACUGGAACUGAGACACGGUCCAGACUCCUACGGGAGGCAGCAGUGGGGAAUAUUGGACAAUGGGCGAAAGCCUGAUCCAGCCAUGCCGCGUGUGUGAAGAAGGUCUUCGGAUUGUAAAGCACUUUAAGUUGGGAGGAAGGGCAGUAAAUUAAUACUUUGCUGUUUUGACGUUACCGACAGAAUAAGCACCGGCUAACUCUGUGCCAGCAGCCGCGGUAAUACAGAGGGUGCAAGCGUUAAUCGGAAUUACUGGGCGUAAAGCGCGCGUAGGUGGUUCGUUAAGUUGGAUGUGAAAUCCCCGGGCUCAACCUGGGAACUGCAUUCAAAACUGACGGGCUAGAGUAUGGUGGAGGGUGGUGGAAUUUCCUGUGUAGCGGUGAAAUGCGUAGAUAUAGGAAGGAACACCAGUGGCGAAGGCGACCACCUGGACUGAUACUGAGACUGAGGUGCGAAAGCGUGGGGAGCAAAC
rnacentral:rRNA from 1 species